rnacentral:lncRNA from 1 species
UCAUGCAAAUGUCAUCAAAAGGACUUUUCCAAGCUUGUAAUGAGGUUGGGCUAACAAGAAAAAUUGGUUUUUCUAGAAUGGAAAAUCCUUGAGUCAAGAGAGCUAACAAGACAUUCAAUAUUUACGCACAACUCUCUCUCUCACCAAAAUUUCUCAUUCCCAACUUCUUCCCUUUUCUUUUUCUUUUUCAUUGAGCUCAUCUUCAUGCUUUUCUUCUUUUCUUUUCUUUUUCUCAUGAAUUUUUCUCUUUUCACAACAAUUGAGCUCAAUGCCUUUUACUUGCUUUUUCAAUUUUCCCCCGUACAACCCCAAACUUGAACCUUUUCAUCGCUUACAAAUAAGCUCAUCCUAAC